AUUGAACGCUGGCGGCAGGCCUAACACAUGCAAGUCGAGCGAGCGGCGGACGGGUGAGUAAUGUAUGGGGAUCUGCCCGAUAGAGGGGGCUAACUACUGGAAACGGUGGCUAAUACCGCAUACUAUCGGAUGAACCCCUAUGGGAUUAGCUAGUAGGUGGGGUAAAGGCUCACCUAGGCGAAGAUCCCUAGCUGGUCUGAGAGGAUGACCAGCCACACUGGGACUGAGACACGGUCCAGACUCCGACGGGAGGCAGCAGUGGGGAAUAUUGCACAAUGGGCGCAAGCCUGAUGCAGCCAUGCCGCUAGUAUGAAGAGGGCCUUCGGGUUGUAAAGUACUUUCAGCGGGGAGGCGUUACUCGCAGAAGAAGCACCGGCUAACUCCGUGCCAGCAGCCGCGGUAAUUC
rnacentral:rRNA from 1 species